AUGAGAUGCGAGCUUCUCUUCUGCAUUUUCCUAUGUCUCCUGGAGACAGCCCUCACGGACACUAAAAUUCUCCAGACACCAAGAUAUCUGGUCAUGGGAAGAGCAAAUAAUAAGUCUUUGAAAUGUGAACAACAACUGGGAAAUAAUGCUAUGUACUGGUAUAAACAGAAUGCCGGGCAGCCCCCAGAGCUCAUGUUUCUCUACAAUCUUAAACAACUGAUUCUAAACGAGACUGUGCCCAGUCGUUUCUUUCCUGAAUGCCCAGACACCUUCCAGCUAUUCCUUCACUUGUCUGCCUUGGAGCCAGAAGACUCAGCUGUGUAUUUCUGUGCCAGCAGCAAGGACACAGCCCUGCAGAUUCAUCAGCUGUCUGACACAUGGAACCUGGAGUCACAUGUUGCAGAAAUGUGA